UGGGGAAUUUUGGACAAUGGGGGAAACCCUGAUCCAGCCAUCCCGCGUGUGCGAUGAAGGCCUUCGGGUUGUAAAGCACUUUUGGCAGGAAAGAAACGUCAUGGGUUAAUACCCCGUGAAACUGACGGUACCUGCAGAAUAAGCACCGGCUAACUACGUGCCAGCAGCCGCGGUAAUACGUAGGGUGCAAGCGUUAAUCGAAUUACUGGGCGUAAAGCGUGCGCAGGCGGUUCGGAAAGAAAGAUGUGAAAUCCCAGAGCUCAACUUUGGAACUGCAUUUUUAACUACCGGGCUAGGGUGUGUCAGAGGGAGGUGGAAUUCCGCGUGUAGCAGUGAAAUGCGUAGAUAUGCGGAGGAACACCGAUGGCGAAGGCAGCCUCCUGGGAUAACACUGACGCUCAUGCACGAAAGCGUGGGGAGCAAACAGG
rnacentral:rRNA from 1 species